GACGAACGCUGGCGGCGUGCUUAACACAUGCAAGUCGAACGAAGAGCGAUGGAAGCUUGCUUCUAUCAAUCUUAGUGGCGAACGGGUGAGUAACGCGUAAUCAACCUGCCCUUCAGAGGGGGACAACAGUUGGAAACGACUGCUAAUACCGCAUACGAUCUAACCUUGGCAUCGAGGAUGGAUGAAAGGUGGCCUCUAUUUAUAAGCUAUCACUGAAGGAGGGGAUUGCGUCUGAUUAGCUAGUUGGAGGGGUAACGGCCCACCAAGGCGAUGAUCAGUAGCCGGUCUGAGAGGAUGAACGGCCACAUUGGGACUGAGACACGGCCCAGACUCCUACGGGAGGCAGCAGUGGGGAAUCUUCCGCAAUGGACGAAAGUCUGACGGAGCAACGCCGCGUGAGUGAUGACGGGCCUUUCGGGUUGUAAAGCUCUGUUAAUCGGGACGAAAAGGCCUUCCUGCGAAUAAAUAGAAAGAAUGACCGACCGGAAAAAAAACCCGC
rnacentral:rRNA from 1 species